AGGCUGGUAGAGGUGGUCGGAACAAUAGGUGGAGCGGUGAAAUGCGUAGAUAUCUAUUGGAACACCGAAGGUGAAGACAGGCCACUGGGCCAGUCCUGACGCUGAGGCACGAAAGCGUGGGUAGCAAACGGGAUUAGAUACCCCGGUAGUCCACGCCGUAAACGAUGCGCACUUGGUCGAGGGGGUUGAACGCCUUCUCGGCCGUAGGAAAACUGAUUAGUGCGCCGCCUGGGGAGUACGGUCGCAAGAUUAAAACUCAAAGGAAUUGACGGGGGCUCACACAAGCGGUGGAGCAUGUGGCUUAAUUCGAAGCAACGCGAAGAACCUUAUCCUAGGCUUGACAUGCACGGAUUAACCUCCUGAAAGGGAGGCAACACUCGCAAGAGUGGAACGUGCACAGGUGCUGCAUGGCUGUCGUCAGCUCGUGCUGUGAAGUGUCGGGUUAAGUCCCUCAACGAGCGCAACCCCUGUCACUAGUUGCAAACAGGUAAUGCUGUGGACUCUAGUGAGACUGCCGGUGUCAAACCGGAGGAAGGUGGGGAUGACGUCAAGUCCUCAUGGCCCUUAUGCCUAGGGCUGCACACGUGCUACAAUGGCACCGACAGAACGAUCCGAGACCGCAAGGUGGAGGAAAUCGCUCAAAAGGUGCCCCAGUUCGGAUUGGAGGCUGCAACUCGCCUCCAUGAAGUUGGAAUCGCUAGUAAUCGCGGAUCAGCUACGCCGCGGUGAAUAUGUUCCUGAGCCUUGUACACACCGCCCGUCAAGUCAUGGAAGCCGGUAGCGCCCGAAGUCGCCUCAUUUCAGGGGUGCCCACGGCGAGGCUGGUGACUGGGACUAAGUCGUAA
rnacentral:rRNA from 1 species